rnacentral:rRNA from 1 species
CCUACGGGAGGCAGCAGUGAGGAAUAUUGGUCAAUGGACGAGAGUCUGAACCAGCCAAGUAGCGUGAAGGAUGACUGCCCUCUGGGUUGUAAACUUCUUUUAUAUGGGAAUAAAAUGUUCCACGUGUGGGAUUUUGUACGUACCAUAUGAAUAAGGAUCGGCUAACUCCGUGCCAGCAGCCGCGGUAAUACGGAGGAUCCGAGCGUUAUCCGGAUUUAUUGGGUUUAAAGGGAGCGUAGGUGGAUUGUUAAGUCAGUUGUGAAAGUUUGGGGCUCAACCGUAAAAUUGCAGUUGAAACUGGCAGUCUUGAGUACAGUAGAGGUAGGCGGAAUUCGUGGUGUAGCGGUGAAAUGCUUAGAUAUCACGAAGAACUCCGAUUGCGAAGGCAGUUCACUGGACUGCAACUGACACUGAGGCUCGAAAGUGUGGGUAUCAAACAGGAUUAGAUACCCGGGUAGUC